UUUUGUAUUCUCAAGCAAAAA
rnacentral:miRNA from 1 species